UUCAUUCUUGUAUAUUCUAGAUUUGCUUUGCUUGCUAGUAUGGAUGUUUUUGAUGGAUUAAAGUAAUUUUUUUAAAUGAAAUUAUAAUCUUUGGCACAAGAGAACAUGUUCUAAGAAUAGAACUUGUGACUUGCUAAUCGUUUGUUUGUUAUAUUUUUAUGUAUGUUAGCUUUGCUGGUUAUAAAGUAGGGAAAUUUUUGAUGGAUUGUGGAUUCUGUUUUAACAAUUUUAAGCCUAUGAUUAUAAUUUCAGAGAAUCGAACAAGUUGUUCGUAAAUCCUGUGUUUUACUAUAUUUUGCAUAAGUAAACUUGCUUGAACGGUGCCAAACAUUUAAAAAAAGUAAACUGCUUGUUGUUAGCUUUGCUGGUUAUAAAGUAUACAAUUGCUUGGAUUAUAUUACAUGGUUGCUGAUUGUUAGGUGGAUUGUCUACCAAAAAUGCUGUCAUAUUCACUUAUCUCAAAAAGAUUGAAACUUUGUUUUUUUUUUUUUAUCUUUGCAUUACUUGAAUCCAUAAGAAAUUGAAAAAUAUAAAUAAAAAUCAAGGGAAAGUGAUAGCAAGAGAUAAGAUAAAGUUCUUCCCUGUAAAUAUUUGAUGGUUUUUCUUGUUUAUAUGUUCUCUAUGAUAUCCUUAUGUGAGUAAAGUUGAUUAUUCAUUUGACCAUAUCAGGGAACUUAUUUUUUGAUUUAUAUGUCUGGUUAUUUCAUACCAAUCUUCUGCAUUGUCCAAUUAAUGAAUGGUUCUAUUGCUUUUUCUAGUUUUCUUGUUGAUCCUCCAAUUAAUGUAACAGAGAAUUGCAAAUCAAAAGAUGCUCUCAUCUUGCCCAAUCUGCUCCACAUGUUUUCCAACUCUAUCUGACUUGGAACGGCAUGUAAACAAUCACUUUGUAGAUGAUGAACUUGAGCGGGACAUGGAACUAGCAGAACAAAUUGCAUUAGCUCCACCCAGUCCUAUACAAAUGGCUGGCUCGUUGGUUGAAGGAGUGACUCCUGAAUCCAGCACUUUGAGGUUGAAGGCACAUGAUUAUGGGGAACCUCUUCAUCUACAGCUGGGCAUAUCUUCAUUAGUUUCCUUGCAAACUAAAAGCACAUUUUAUAAAGUUGAAGGUGGUCUAAUGACUUUAUUGAGGAGGUGUCUGGAAUUGGAAAAGGGUAGUUCAAAAAGUAUCAUAACAGGCCACAUUGACCAUUAUCAGAGUUUGAAAUCUGAAGAUCAUGGAUGGGGUUGUGGAUGGCGCAAUAUUCAAAUGUUAAGCUCCCACCUUUUGAUGCAGAAUCAAGAAGUGAGGGAUGUUAUGUUUGGAGGGUGUGGAUUUGUUCCUGAUAUUCCAUCACUCCAGAGGUGGCUGGAGAUUGCUUGGAGAAAAGGUUUUGAUUCAGAUGGCUCAGAAACAUUUUGUAAUAAAAUUUAUGGCACUACGAAAUGGAUUGGAACCACUGAGUGUGCUGCACUCCUUUGUUCUUUUGGCCUUAGAGCAAGAGUUGUAGAUUUUGAUAGUUUGUCAUCUCCAUCACCAUCGUUGUCCAAUGUGAAUCUUGGUGCCAAAGGAAAGGACGGAAAUCAUCAACACCCCAGAGACAAAAGGAAAGCAAAACAGGUUUAUGGGCCACUUGACAAGUUUCUUAUUCAAAGGAAGCCUAGUGCUUCUUCAGUGGGUGUCUUGUCAUGUGAAAGUUCUCAGCAUGUGCUUCAUGCUGGUACCUUGAUAGAUGAUGACUGCAAUCAAUAUAAUGGGGAGAUUAAGAGCCAUCAUAUCCUUGUUGAUUGGGUCUGGAACUAUUUUAACAGUGGACUUUCCAAUGCACGUAAUGAUUCUAAAGGUGUUUUUGUCAGUGAAAGAACGCCUUUAUACUUUCAAUACAAUGGUCAUUCAAGAACCAUCAUUGGAAUCCAACGGCACAAGGGAUUGCGAAACUUGCAAGAUCAAUAUUUUCUUUUGGUUCUUGAUCCUUCUGAGAGAACAGAAGAUUUGGAAAGGUCUCUCCAAGCUAGCAGUGGAUGGCAAAGGUUGAUAAAAAGAGGGGUGCAUACCUUGAGAAAGCCACAGUACCAGCUGUGUUAUGUUGAUCAUGGAAUUGCCCAUAAAGAGGAGAUGGAGCAGCUCAAGGUUAUUCAUAGCAUCUUAAUUAAAUUCUAAACGAAGUGGAUAUGGAUAUUAUGAAGGUGUGCCUCACAUCAGAUUUGGCCUGACGAAAGACCUGAAGAUCUGGAGCUGCAUAAGUGAUCGAUCUGCAAUUUUAUUUUAGCAAGAUUCAGAUGCAUGUAUAUGUACCUCCAACAGCAAGGACCAGGGGCACCACAAUCAAAGUGAGCAUGGCUACUUGCCAGCAGCAGAUAAAAGCAAUGAUGAUUCCAACAAAUAAAGUCGAGAAGCUCG